GACAAAAUUUGGGAUGAAUUUCCGCUUAAACGGCGCAGAACAUGCCUUUCCGUCACCGACCGGGAUGGAGGAGGGACGGCCCCGGCCCCUCGGUGGGUUUGGGGCUCUUUCGGGGGAUUUUGGGAGCGGUUGGGGAUGGGAAUCACCUAAAUGUUGGGAAAAUGUCCCUUGAGGGAUGCUCCGUGCAAGGAGAGGGGUGUCAAUGUCAUCCCAACGUCAUCCCAACGUCAAUGUCAUCCCAACGUCAACGUCAGCCCAACGUCAACUCAAUGUCAGCCCAACAUCACCCCAAUGUCAUCCCAAUGUCAACUCAACAUCUACCCAAUGUUAUCCCAACAUCAACUCAGUGUCAGUCCAACAUCAACUCAAUGUCUACCCAAUGUUAUCCCAACAUCAACUCAACGUCAGCCCAACGUCAACCCAAUGUUAUCCCAACAUCAACUCAACGUCAGCCCAACGUCAACUCAACAUCAGCCCAACAUCAACCCAACGUCAACUCAACGUCUACCCAAUGUUAUCCCAACGUCAACUCAACGUCAGCCCAACGUCAACUCAAUGUCAGCCCAAUGUCAACCCAAUGUCAUCCCAACGUCAACUCAACAUCUACCCAAUGUUAUCCCAACAUCAUCCCAAUGUCAGCCCAAUGUCAACCCAACGUCAAUGUCAACCCAACGUCAACGUCAGCCCAACGUCAGCCCAAUGUCAACUCAACGUCAGCAUCAACUCAACGUCAGCCCAACAUCAUUCCAACAUCAACUGAACGUCAGGCCAACGUCAACUCAACGUCAACUCAACAUCAGCCCAACGUCUACCCAAUGUUAUCCCAACAUCAACAUCAGCCCAACGUCAACCCAACGUCAACUCAACAUCAGCCCAACAUCAACCCAACGUCAACUCAACGUCAUCCCAACGUCAAUGUCAACCCAACAUCAACAUCAGUCCAACGUCAGCCCAAUAUCAACUCAACGUCAGCCCAACGUCAUUCCAACAUCAACUCAACGUCAGGCGAACGUCAACUCAACAUCAGCCCAACAUCAACCCAACGUCAACUCAACGUCAGCCCGAUGUCAACCCAAUGUCAUCCCAAUGUCAACUCAACAUCUACCCAAUGUUAUCCCAACAUCAUCCCAACGUCAGCCCAAUGUCAACCCAAUGUCAACCCAAUGUCAUCCCAACGUCAAUAUCAACCCAACGUCAACAUCAGCCCAAUGUCAACUCAACGUCAGCCCAACAUCAACCCAAUGUCAACUCAAUGUCAGCCCAACGUCAACUCAAUGUCAUCCCAACGUCAACUCAACAUCUACCCAAUGUUAUCCCAACAUCAACUCAACGUCAGCCCAACAUCAACCCAACGUCAACUCAACGUCAGGCAAACGUCAACACAACAUCAACCCAACGUCAACUCAACGUCUACCCAAUGUUAUCCCAACAUCAACUCAACGUCAGCCCAACAUCAACCCAACGUCAACCCAAUGUUAUCCCAACAUCAACUCAACAUCAUCCUAACGAACCACCGUCCAUCCCUUUUUUUGACUUUUUUGGGGGGUGAAACAUGCAGAAGGGAGGAGGGAAUUGAUGCCCAAGCCCCGACCACCCUCCCUACAGCGAAGCUUAGGAGUGGAGAAUUAUUUCCUAAAUCCCCUUAG
rnacentral:lncRNA from 1 species